UAGAACAUGAAGUCCAAGAUGACAGGUUUUCUUCUAAYGAUUUUUCUUUUGAUCAACUUUGAAACAGCUCUCUGCCUUGACCGUCACAAGCGCAGUUCUAGCAGUGAAUCUAAUAGUCAUCAGAGAUGGAAACCAUGUCCUCCAUUGAUCCCAUUUAACAUCUGUCAGAUGUUUCCGCUUCUCUGCAUCAAACCGCCUGUUCUUCCUACAGC